rnacentral:rRNA from 1 species
UACAGGGGGUGCAAACGUUGCUCGGAAUCAUCGGGCGUAAAGCGCACGUAGGCGGCCCCGUAAGUCCGCUGUGAAAGUCAAAGGCUCAACCUUUGAAAGCCGGUGGAUACUGUGGGGCUAGAGUCCGGAAGAGGCGAGUGGAAUUCCUGGUGUAGCGGUGGAAUGCGCAGAUAUCAGGAGGAACACCAAUAGCGAAGGCAGCUCGCUGGGACGGUACUGACGCUAAGGCGCGAAAGCGUGGGGAGCGAACAGG